GCCUGAGUAGGUCAAGUGGCAGAGCACUGGUCUUGUAAACCAGGAGUGGUGAGUUCAAUCCUCACAGGAGGCA